GACGAACGCUGGCGGCGUGCUUAACACAUGCAAGUCGAACGAUGAAACCUAGCUUGCUAGGUCGAUUAGUGGCGAACGGGUGAGUAACACGUGACCAACCUGCCCCUUUCUCUGGGAUAACGCUCCGAAAGGAGUGCUAAUACCGGAUACUCACAUCGAGGCACAUGCCUUGAUGUGGAAAGUUUUUCGGAAAGGGAUGGAGUCGCGGCCUAUCAGCUUGUUGGUGAGGUAACGGCUCACCAAGGCGACGACGGGUAGCCGGCCUGAGAGGGCGACCGGCCACACUGGGACCGAGACACGGCCCAGACUCCUACGGGAGGCAGCAGUGGGGAAUAUUGCACAAUGGGCGCAAGCCUGAUGCAGCGACGCCGCGUGAGGGAUGAAGGUCUUCGGAUUGUAAACCUCUUUCAGUAGGGACGAAGCGAAAGUGACGGUACCUAAAGAAGAAGCACCGGCUAACUACGUGCCAGCCGCCGCGGUAA
rnacentral:rRNA from 1 species